rnacentral:rRNA from 2 species
GGGAGCAUGUGGUUUAAUUCGAAGCAACGCGCAGAACCUUACCAGCCCUUGACAUCCCGAUCAGGAUUAUCAGAGAUGAUGAUUGUCGGUUCGGCCGGAUCGGUGACAGGUGCUGCAUGGCUGUCGUCAGCUCGUGUCGUGAGAUGUUGGGUUAAGUCCCGCAACGAGCGCAACCCUCGCCCUUAGUUGCCAUCAUUAAGUUGGGCACUCUAAGGGGACUGCCGGUGAUAAGCCGAGAGGAAGGUGGGGAUGACGUCAAGUCCUCAUGGCCCUUACGGGCUGGGCUACACACGUGCUACAAUGGUGGUGACAGUGGGCAGCGAGACCGCGAGGUCGAGCUAAUCUCCAAAAGCCAUCUCAGUUCGGAUUGCACUCUGCAACUCGAGUGCAUGAAGUUGGAAUCGCUAGUAAUCGUGGAUCAGCAUGCCACGGUGAAUACGUUCCCGGGCCUUGUACACACCGCCCGUCACACCAUGGGAGUUGGCUUUACCCGAAGGUGCCGCGCUAACCGCAAGG